CCAAACCAUAUGAUUAGUUUAAUAACACAAACAUUUAUUUCGAAAGCUAAAAUUAAGAAAUUUCACACUGAAUGGAAAUACAACUUGAAAGGAGGUUUCCUUUUGCGUAUAUUUGUUUAACCACUCUUGUCCACUUUGUCGGGUUGUCUAACUUCAUUAUCGGUUUGUGUUUCAAGUUUUACUUCGACGUUACGAAAUCGGAUGGCGAUAUUUAUGACAAAUUCGGUUACGGGCUUAAACACCCGUCGGUUUUGAACGCUAUUUUCCAGAUGGCUUAUAACAGUAUCGCUUUGGCGGUCGACGUACAGAUUUUGGUGACCAAUGUAAAUGACGCUCCUUACGUAUGGCUAUUGUGGAGGAGCUACUUCCGAAGCUGCUUCGCCUUCCCCAUCGGCAUGAUUAACUGCUUCAGCUACUGGAUGUUUUACCUGAUCAGCCCUGAAAACAUAUUCAAAAGUGGAAAGUCUGAUCAUCCUUUAUGGCUGUCACACGUCCUCACGACCGACAACGUAAUCUUCCUCAUGCUGGACUUGCUCGUAUGUCGAGGCGAGUCGCCCAAACAUAUCUUGGUACCGUUUUUGAUCUUUUCAUUGGUAACGGUGAACUACAUCAUCUGGCUGCACGUAAUUUACUUACAUACGCACAGGUGGGCCGUGCCAUUCCUCGGCGAAGGGAACUUCGCCUUGAAAAUGAUUAAAGGGACCAUCGUUACCUUCUUAUCGUUAUUUUUCUUUCUGUUGGGCGAAUUCAUCAACGACCUCCUAUGGAACGAAAAAGGUCCUAAGCGUUCGACUUGUCUAUCCCGAUAUUUUUCAGAUCGACCGACAGUGAGUGCAAUAAUAGUGGAAGAACCUCCUAGUACUCCCAUCCUGAAUAGACUUACCUCAGUUGAUCAAAAACCGCAAGAGAAAGGUUGGUGGUUUGUUUCCUUAGCAAAAAGAAUUAUGUAUGACAGUAAUCCAUUUACUAGCUAGUAGUUUCAACAUAAACAGAAAAUUUUAAAUUUAACAAUGUCUUAUCUACUUUUUUAUACACAUGUUUUUUCUAACAUGUGCUAAGGUUCGAAUUACAUAACUAUUAUCGAAAUACGCAUAUAGUCAGAAGUAUAAAUUGUCUUAAUUAAUUUAACCAAUCCAAGUUCCACCACUUCUAAGCAGCAUAAAUACAUGAAAACUAUCAAAACGUUUAAAAAAGUCAUUACUCCGGAAGAGCUUACUUGCGUUGGAGAAUGAAAUGUUCCACUGUCUGGAUGGCAUUUUCUGUACAGUUCAAGUACGGGUUGUUAAUAUGUUAAUUUUUUCAAGAUGCGCUCUCAAGCAGUUGUGUCGGAAGGGAAGUCUGGAUUAAUAAAUCAAAAUCAGA